AGAACUUUGCCCUAUGUGUGUUGUAUCUGAUUCAUCAGGGCAAAGUCUUUCCUAAAGAAUUAGCUGGGUCAGACACAUUCAGAAUCAGAGUCGACAGAGCACCAACGCUACCAAAACAACACAAGGAAAAACAGAAGGUAAAGAAGAGAGAGAAGGAAAGAAAGGGACUGGGAUAUGGAGUCAACAUCAUCAUUAAUAAAGUCUGUGACCAGGCGGGUGUGGUCGUUGGCCCCGGCCCCCCAGAGACCAUUCAGGGUGUGUUCCCAUGACAGGGGCACCAGGAAAGGUGUCACAGCAGCUACCCUGGAGGAGCUGAGAGAGAGGGUGUGUCAGGCCCUGAUGCUAUGCCUGUCCAGUCUGGCUGUGGUGCUAGUGUGUGAGGAGGACGGGACAGUGGUAGACUCUGAAGACUUCCUGAUGUAUCUGCCCGACAACACUGUCCUCAUGGCCCUGGAACCUGGACAGACAUGGAAACCUCCUCCGGGUGCAGUGCUCUCCAAAGGCCAGGACCCUAACCAGUCGCGGACAGGAAAAGACAUAGCCCGGGUGACCUUUGACCUGUACCGGCAGAACCCCAAGGACGUGUUUGGCUCCCUGAAUGUGAAGGGUACCUUCUCAGGCCGGUACUCCGUCAGCGCUGACUUCCAAUGUCUGGGGCCCAAAAAAGUCCUCAGAGAGGCCCUCCGCAUGGCCUCCACUCUCCUCCAGAUGGCAGGUCACAUGUUGAUCACCUCAGCCAAUCUGAUCAAGCGGAUAAUCGAGGGAGCAGAGUUCUGGCAGCCUCAGAGGGUGGAGGCCACAGAGUACUGGAACUAAGGCAGGACUGGGACCGACCGCUCUCUAAUGACCAAAUCAAUCCUAACUUGAGUUUGCUACAUCCACUCAGUCCACUGUCAGAGACACCCACUUGCAGAACAAGGAGAAACAGUGCUGUUCAUUCAUAGAAGGGUAUGAGGAAACCUGACCAGCACUUGAGGAACCAAUACGAUUUAACAUGAGCCUUUAGUUGCUCUACCUUUAAUUAGGCUAUAUAUAAGUUAAUUACUUUCUUACUCAUGACCACACAAGAUCUGCCAAAAGGCAAGGACACAGACUGCAUAAGCACAGUAUGAGGUCAGAUAGUGAAUAUACUGAGUAACAUUAUCAACAACAUUAUCAAAUAUUAAACUGGUACCAGCCGGUUACUCAAACCUGCACCUUAGAGGCUGUUGCCCUAUAUACAUAGACAUGGAAUCACUGGUCACUUAAAUGAUGGAACACUGGUAACUUUAAUAAUGUUUACAUACUGCUUUACUCAUUUCAUAUGUAUAUACUCUAUUCUAUUCUAAUGUAUUUUAAUCAAUGCCACUCCAAUAUUGCUCGUCCUAAUAUUUAUAUAUUUCCUAAUUCCAUUCUUUUACUUUUAGAUGUGUCUAUUGUUGUGAAUUGUUAG